rnacentral:rRNA from 1 species
AUUGAACGCUGGCGGCAUGCCUUACACAUGCAAGUCGAACGGCAGCACGGAAGCAAUCCCGGUGGCGAGUGGCGAACGGGUGAGUAAUAUAUCGGAACGUGCCCAGUCGUGGGGGAUAACGCAGCGAAAGCUGUGCUAAUACCGCAUACGAUCUAAGGAUGAAAGCGGGGGAUCGCAAGACCUCGCGCGAUUGGAGCGGCCGAUAUCAGAUUAGCUAGUUGGUGGGGUAAAGGCCCACCAAGGCGACGAUCUGUAGCUGGUCUGAGAGGACGACCAGCCACACUGGAACUGAGACACGGUCCAGACUCCUACGGGAGGCAGCAGUGGGGAAUUUUGGACAAUGGGCGCAAGCCUGAUCCAGCAAUGCCGCGUGCAGGAUGAAGGCCUUCGGGUUGUAAACUGCUUUUGUACGGAACGAAACGGCCCUUUCUAAUACAGGGGGCUAAUGACGGUACCGUAAGAAUAAGCACCGGCUAACUACGUGCCAGCAGCCGCCGUAAUAC